rnacentral:rRNA from 1 species
CGGAGGGUGCAAGCGUUAUCCGGAUUUAUUGGGUUUAAAGGGUGCGCAGGCGGGGCUUUAAGUCAGUGGUGAAAUCUCUUCGCUUAACGAAGAAACUGCCAUUGAUACUGAAGUUCUUGAAUCUAGUUGACGUUAGUGGAAUGUGUCAUGUAGCGGUGAAAUGCUUAGAUAUGACACAGAACACCGAUCGCGAAGGCAGCUAACGAAGCUAGUAUUGGCGCUCAGGCACGACAGCAUGGGGAGCAAACAGGAUUAGAUACCCUGGUAGUCCAUGCCGUAAACGUUGAUCACUCGACAUUGGCGAUAUACUGUCAGUGUCCAAGCGAAAGUGUUUAGUGAUCCACCUGGGGAGUACGCUCGCAAGGGUG